GCUAUACCCUACACCAUCCUGAACAUGCCUGACUCGUCUGAUCUGGGAAGCUAAGCAGGGUCGGGCCUGGUUAGUAUUUGGAUGGAAGAAGUAAUUCUUUUGGAAAAACAUAUGGACAGAGUU
rnacentral:rRNA from 1 species